UUUUUCAGUCCUAGCAUUCGAUGAACUGAGGACUCUUGUAUGCCAUACUCAGCCGUGAUUAAUUCUAAGCCUUUAGUCUCACUUUCAGAUCUGAUCUGGAUGUUUUUACCCCAUCACACUUUCAUCGAUGAGCCUGACGUGACAAGUCUUAUCUACAAACUCUUGGCGAUCUUUUUGUCAUUCUCCAUAGAGCUUGAGGUAAUCAUUGGAGUCUCGUACGCAAUAAAAACAUUAAAUUCUGGUGACUGUGACAUACAAUAUAGCUCCUCAGACGACUUCAGAACUAUGACCCAUCACUUCCUUUCAUUACCAGCAGCUAACAGAGGAUAGGCCCUUCCACAUUGUUAUGCGUAAUAUUCACCACGGUGUUCCAUCGGAAGACAUCAUCGAAUGCCUGCAGAAAGAUACUCUGGGUAAUAAGCUGUGAAGAGCUGUGCCUUCACGAGACUCGACAGGAUGAUGUCGAUAAUGAAGUCCCUGAUGCAAACGACCGUUGGUGUAUGUUCUGUAUUUGCAAGAGUGCAGAUUUCGCAGUCAUUAACUAUAUUUGGGAUUAGUUCCUUAUAGUCUGGAAAAUAUUGAGUUUCUUGAAAAAGACGAUACCAGGGUUCAAUACGUUUGGGUAUUGAGUAAAUAUGAAUUCCUUAAAAAGUUAAUGUUCUUUAAUCGGUACGGUUAAGAGUUUCAUGGUAUGAAUUUUGAAGAAUGGAGAAGUCAUUGUCAUUGUUAAAUACUCUAGUAUGCUUUGGAAAGUAUUUUAUUAAAGGGUCUUUUGCUAUUGGGAGAGUCAUUUCAGUGUUUUUUUUUUAAAUAAUUUUAGAUUUUUUUUUUAAACAAAGAAGAAGUUAAUGGAAUCUUUAAUAAAUUCUAUUUGUCUACUUAAAUAAUUUGUAUGUUUUUUAGUGAUUUAACUGAUUUAAACUAAGACGCUUUCGCGAAUAUUGCCUUGAUGUAGCUUUUCCUUAAUUUUCUUAAUAACUUCAGCUUCAUAGGUCUUCACGCCAGAAUGCCGCGGAGUUUUGACCGUGAGUGUGAGCGGACAGCGCUUACACGCUUGCUACGUUCUGUUCUCUUCGCCUUCCCGCUCUCCAUCCAUCCAGCCGGCAAGUUCACCACUCCGCGGUCCCGCGGCACUUUUUUGUUAGCUUUUAUCAACAACAACAGAAGCCACUAAUCACCCAUCUUCCAGGCGUAUUAUUUGGAUAUCCGCUCCCUCCAUUUCAUAUUCAGAUAAAAAUCAUGAUAAAAUCAUGAUAAUUACGUAUUUGCGCCACCGAAACCGGACAAUCCAUUAUUUGGAGGAACUAAAAAUAAUAAGGCACUUAAUUGAUUUCCAUACUGUAUGUAUGUAUCUGCGCAGUAUGCGUUUUAAUAAACAUUUCUUUGGCAACAGCACUUAGCUGUUCUUGUAAACAAAUCCUAAAGUCUGACCUAAGAAGCAUUGCCUGCUCUCUUUGAAUCUUAAAAAAUUAAGGAUCCAAAAGCAAUGCUCUCCCGAAAUACAAUAUUCU